CACGAAGGGGGCUAGCGUUGCUCGGAAUCACUGGGCGUAAAGCGCACGUAGGCGGAUUGCUAAGUCAGGGGUGAAAUCCUGGAGCUCAACUCCAGAACUGCCUUUGAUACUGGCGAUCUCGAGUCCGGGAGAGGUGAGUGGAACUGCGAGUGUAGAGGUGAAAUUCGUAGAUAUUCGCAAGAACACCAGUGGCGAAGGCGGCUCACUGGCCCGGUACUGACGCUGAGGUGCGAAAGCGUGGGGAGCAAACAGG
rnacentral:rRNA from 1 species